UUUCACAGCCCGUGAACGGCAGUAAUUGUGGCCGUACCAAGUGUUUCCCGGGAUGGCAACAUUGUAGAUGAAGGUGACGGCUUUCGAGUUGUAGCCGUAGAUGGUAACAUCAUACGGUAUCCAUCCAUCGUAUCCGCUCCUGUACAGGUACGCAUAACAGAUCUGAUACGUACAUGGACCGUAUACCGUAUAUGUAUCCUUCGAACACCGCUCAAAAGCCCUGCUUGCCGGGUCAUCUAUCCGCGGUGCAUAAACCUGGGGAAAAAAAUGGUAUUCCGAUCCGUAUUGGACAAUUGAACAGUGAAAUUAAAACAAAUUGGAGCUUAAAGCGGUAUGAGAAUCGGUAUUAGUUACCUGAUUUCCAUAAGCAUCGCCAAAGGCUAAACUAAUUUGGUCUCUAGUGUAAGCUGGAGAAGAGCAGCUUGUCCUUAUGCUUACCGUAAAUGAACAGCGUGCAUUUUGUCCCUAAAAUAUUCAGAUUAAUCCGUGCUCAAAACAUAUUGUUUGGUUAAUUAAUUGAAUAUCAAAUUUUCUGAACUUGAUAUUGCGGAACCAAAAAAGGAGAAGAAAUGACUGAAUCGUACCUGGUGCAGAGUGGUGUUGAUUAUAUCGAGGGAUGACAAAGGCUGGGGCAAGAACACGAUGGAUCUUGAUGCUUGGACACCGGAAGUUAUGGAAGCGACGGUGAUAACGAGAAGAAAGAGCAUCACCGGCCGGCUGGUCAUGGCUGGUGACAUCGAGAACCCUCUGUUAGGUAAACUUGUUUAACCAGUUUUUGGAAUAUGAUAUGGCAAUCGGCGUUUACUAAUUUGUGGCAAAACUUCGAACGGCACACGACUUAUGUUUAGAUAAUAAGGAAAGGGUAUGUUCGUCAUUCCGUGUCUAAUGAGCGUAGACAGAAGGUAUCAGGUGGCAGGUAAAACGGAUGGCUGGUGCUGCAAAUAGUACAAACGUGUUUGGCAUGCAAAAAAAUAUUUAAAUUUAAGCAUUGAAAAAUAUACCUUAUGAAUGAGGUAUAAAUAUGCAAAAUAUAUAAAAUGCAGGUGCCAGAUUUAGGGUAAAAAGUUUACAUACACCCUAUCAAAUACAGCACGGAGGUUAAAAAAAAAAAAAAUUUACAUACACUCUAUCUUUUUCAAACUUUAUCGGUGAAAUUUCACGAAUAAUUACUUACCGCAUGGUAAGGAAGAGUAGUAGACUAUAUUUUAGAGUUUGGACACAGUAUUGGCUUAUUCGUGGCUUUAUGUAUCUUAGUGAGCAAGUAUAUGGACAUUCUAUUCAAAUCCAAUAAAAAAAGUUUCGGAUGUGUUUUAUCUGAUAGGGAUGGCUUGUUUGGUAGCUGGAGCUGCGGUUCCUUGUGUCAAUUCUUUAAAAUAAAUACAAAAUAGUCCUUAUCUAAACUCUACUUCCUGGUUUAGACUUCAAGCAUGUUCUUUCAGAAAUUUCUGAUUAGAUUCAAAAUUGAUGAUAUAUUAAAAUUUCAGAACAAGCUGUGGCUAGCACAACUUUUAAUCUAUUUUGUGUAGAUGAAAGAAGUUUUGGUAAAAUCCAUAGCGUUUUGGUGCUGAAUUUUUCCUUGAUUUUAUUAGGGGAGGCAGGUGAGAGAGGGAAGUAGUAGGCGGCACCCACAGUAAUUUAUUGCUGGACAUUGACAUAUAAGCUAAGGCAAAACGCACAAAUUCAGAGGUCGGGAACCAUAUUCCGUUCAACUGGAAGGGUAAUAUAGAG
rnacentral:lncRNA from 1 species